GAUAGAAAAAGAAAAAUCCUAUGCGAUUUGUGAGACUGAGUUCAGAAAGUCUUUGGCCAAAACAAGUGUGAAUACUGAAAAAAAAAUUUCACGAGAUUCACAAAUGAACUCGAGUCGAGUCAAUCUAGCAUAUGACUUACGAUGGGGUCUGACGAGCUCUCCAUGACCUCCGUCAAGUCAAGACUCACGAUAGAAGGACUGAAUCAUAUGAUAACUAUAUCUAAGGGUUCAUACUUUCAUCCUACUGGGUUGCCAUUAUAUACUGCUAGGUAUCACUGAUAGAUUGUAAGACUCAUUGGGCAUCAUCUUG
rnacentral:lncRNA from 1 species